rnacentral:rRNA from 1 species
UACGUAGGGACCAAGCGUUGUUCGGAUUUACUGGGCGUAAAGGGCGCGUAGGCGGCAAUUCAAGUCAUCUGUGAAAUCUCCGGGCUUAACUCGGAACGGUCAGAUGAUACUGCUUUGCUCGAGUGCGGAAGGGGCAAUCGGAAUUCUUGGUGUAGCGGUGAAAUGCGUAGAUAUCAAGAGGAACACCUGAGGUGAAGACGGGUUGCUGGGCCGACACUGACGCUGACAGCGCGAAAGCCAGGGGAGCAAACGGGG